GACGAACGCUGGCGGCACGCCUAACACAUGCAAGUCGAACGGUGAAGAGAAGCUUGCUUCUCGGAUCAGUGGCGGACGGGUGAGUAACAUGUGAGGAACCUGCCUUUCAGAGGGGGAUAACGUUUGGAAACGAACGCUAAUACCGCAUAACAUAUUCGGACGGCAUCGUCUGAAUAUCAAAGGAGCAAUCCGCUGAAAGAUGGCCUCGCACCUGAUUAGAUAGUUGGUGAGGUAACGGCUCACCAAGUCGACGAUCAGUAGCCGGACUGAGAGGUUGAACGGCCACAUUGGGACUGAGACACGGCCCAGACUCCUACGGGAGGCAGCAGUGGGAAUAUUGCACAAUGGGCGCAAGCCUGAUGCAGCGAUGCCGCGUGAGGGAAGAAGGGCUUUAGGAUUGUAAACCUCUGUCUUCAGGGACGAUAAUGACGGUACCUGAGGAGGAAGCUCCGGCUAACUACGUGCCAGCAGCCGU
rnacentral:rRNA from 1 species